AACGAACGCUGGCGGCAUGCCUAACACAUGCAAGUCGAACGCCCUCUUCGGAGGGAGUGGCGCACGGGUGCGUAACGCGUGGGAACCUGCCCUUAGGUUCGGAAUAACUCAGAGAAAUUUGAGCUAAUACCGGAUAAUGUCUUCGGACCAAAGAUUUAUCGCCUUUGGAUGGGCCCGCGUAGGAUUAGCUAGUUGGUGGGGUAAAGGCCUACCAAGGCGACGAUCCUUAGCUGGUCUGAGAGGAUGAUCAGCCACACUGGGACUGAGACACGGCCCAGACUCCUACGGGAGGCAGCAGUGGGGAAUAUUGGACAAUGGGCGAAAGCCUGAUCCAGCAAUGCCGCGUGAGUGAUGAAGGCCUUAGGGUUGUAAAGCUCUUUUACCAGGGAUGAUAAUGGCAGUACCUGGAGAAUAAGCUCCGGCUAACUCCGUGCCAGCCGCCGCGGUAACAC
rnacentral:rRNA from 1 species